rnacentral:rRNA from 1 species
AAGACCUUGCGCUUUUGGAGCGGCCGAUGCCUGAUUAGCUUGUUGGUAAGGUAAAAGCUUACCAAGGCUUCGAUCAGUAGCUGGUCUGAGAGGACGACCAGCCACACUGGGACUGAGACACGGCCCAGAUUCCUACGGGAGGCAGCAGUGGGGAAUUUUGGACAAUGGGGGCAACCCUGAUCCAGCCAUGCCGCGUGAGUGAAGAAGGCCUUCGGGUUGUAAAGCUCUUUCAGCCGGAACGAAACGGUUACGGAUAACACCCGUGACUACUGACGGUACCGGAAGAAGAAGCGCCGGCUAACUACGUGCCAGCAGCCGCGGUAAUACGUAGGGUGCGAGCGUUAAUCGGAAUUACUGGGCGUAAAGCGUGCGCAGGUGGUUUUGUAAGUCAGAUGUGAAAGCCCCGGGCUCAACCUGGGAACU